UCGAAUAGAGCAUAGAUUUGUCACAGAUCUAAGAAGACACGGGAAGAAAAACCCUGAAAAAGAUUAUUAGGGUUUCUCGGAAACCACAUAAACAAGAAGGCCUGGUACGACCUGGUCUUUGAACAAGUCUGGGCCAUGGCUGAGCUUUUUAGAGCUUGAACAUGCCGGGAUGGAGCCGGAGAAGCCAUAGGAACUCCGGUCGACGGAGGACCUGAACAAGUCUGUUGAAGAACGGAGCUUGAAAGCUUCGAAUAAUCAUGGUCUCGGAUGAAGGGAAGAGGAUAUAGGCCGUCCAUGGCCUGGGAAGCCAUGGACACCGGUAAGAACUGUUCGGAGAUGACGAUAUAGACGGCUAGGGUUUUGAGUGGUUUGGAGAGAGUUUGAGAGGAUGACAGAAUUUGGAGGAG
rnacentral:lncRNA from 1 species